rnacentral:sRNA from 1 species
ACGUCUACCCAUUCUUAUUUCUGCAGCAUAUAUAGCAGUGACGAGGAUGAUGAGGACUUUGAGAUGUGUGACCAUGACUAUGAUGGGCUGCUUCCCAAGUCUGGAAAGCGUCACUUGGGGAAAACAAGGUGGACCCGGGAAGAGGAUGAAAAACUGAAGAAGCUGGUGGAACAGAAUGGAACAGAUGACUGGAAAGUUAUUGCCAAUUAUCUCCCGAAUCGAACAGAUGUGCAGUGCCAGCACCGAUGGCAGAAAGUACUAAACCCUGAGCUCAUCAAGGGUCCUUGGACCAAAGAAGAAGAUCAGAGAGUGAUAGAGCUUGUACAGAAAUACGGUCCGAAACGUUGGUCUGUUAUUGCCAAGCACUUAAAGGGGAGAAUUGGAAAACAAUGUAGGGAGAGGUGGCAUAACCACUUGAAUCCAGAAGUUAAGAAAACCUCCUGGACAGAAGAGGAAGACAGAAUUAUUUACCAGGCACACAAGAGACUGGGGAACAGAUGGGCAGAAAUCGCAAAGCUACUGCCUGGACGAACUGAUAAUGCUAUCAAGAACCACUGGAAUUCUACAAUGCGUCGGAAGGUCGAACAGGAAGGUUAUCUGCAGGAGUCUUCAAAAGCCAGCCAGCCAGCAGCAGCCACAAGCUUCCAGAAGAACAGUCAUUUGAUGGGUUUUGCUCAGGCUCCGCCUACAGCUCAACUCCCUGCCACUGGCCAGCCCACUGUUAACAACGACUAUUCCUAUUACCACAUUUCUGAAGCACAAAAUGUCUCCAGUCAUGUUCCAUACCCUGUAGCGUUACAUGUAAAUAUAGUCAAUGUCCCUCAGCCAGCUGCCGCAGCCAUUCAGAGACACUAUAAUGAUGAAGACCCUGAGAAGGAAAAGCGAAUAAAGGAAUUAGAAUUGCUCCUAAUGUCAACCGAGAAUGAGCUAAAAGGACAGCAGUUAUGUGGGCCAUUACUGAAUUCUGACAUCUUUAGCGACUGGGCAGCCAACUGGGAUGGCUCCUUGUGCUUUGCAACAUAUAUAGUUAACCAACAAAGACAAUAAAAGAGAAGUGAUGCCCAACACAGAACCACACAUGCAGCUACCCCGGGUGGCACAGCACCACCAUUGCCGACCACACCAGACCUCAUGGAGACAGUGCACCUGUUUCCUGUUUGGGAGAACACCACUCCACUCCAUCUCUGCCAGCGGAUCCUGGCUCCCUACCUGAAGAAAGCGCCUCGCCAGCAAGGUGCAUGAUCGUCCACCAGGGCACCAUUCUGGAUAAUGUUAAGAACCUCUUAGAAUUUGCAGAAACACUCCAAUUUAUAGAUUCUUUCUUAAACACUUCCAGUAACCAUGAAAACUCAGACUUGGAAAUGCCUUCUUUAACUUCCACCCCCCUCAUUGGUCACAAAUUGACUGUUACAACACCAUUUCAUAGAGACCAGACUGUGAAAACUCAAAAGGAAAAUACUGUUUUUAGAACCCCAGCUAUCAAAAGGUCAAUCUUAGAAAGCUCUCCAAGAACUCCUACACCAUUCAAACAUGCACUUGCAGCUCAAGAAAUUAAAUACGGUCCCCUGAAGAUGCUACCUCAGACACCCUCUCAUCUAGUAGAAGAUCUGCAGGAUGUGAUCAAACAGGAAUCUGAUGAAUCUGGAAUUGUUGCUGAGUUUCAAGAAAAUGGACCACCCUUACUGAAGAAAAUCAAACAAGAGGUGGAAUCUCCAACUGAUAAAUCAGGAAACUUCUUCUGCUCACACCACUGGGAAGGGGACAGUCUGAAUACCCAACUGUUCACGCAGACCUCGCCUGUGGCAGAUGCACCGAAUAUUCUUACAAGCUCCGUUUUAAUGGCACCAGCAUCAGAAGAUGAAGACAAUGUUCUCAAAGCAUUUACAGUACCUAAAAACAGGUCCCUGGCGAGCCCCUUGCAGCCUUGUAGCAGUACCUGGGAACCUGCAUCCUGUGGAAAGAUGGAGGAGCAGAUGACAGCUUCCAGUCAAGCUCGUAAAUACGUGAAUGCAUUCUCAGCCCGGACACUGGUCAUGUGAGACAUUUCCAGAAAAGCAUUAUGGUUUUCAGAACACUUCAAGUUGACUUGGGAUAUAUCAUUCCUCAACAUGAAACUUUUCAUGAAUGGGAGAAGAACCUAUUUUUGUUGUGGUACAACAGUUGAGAGCAGCACCAAGUGCAUUUAGUUGAAUGAAGUCUUAUUGGAUUUCACCCAACUAAAAGGAUUUUUAAAAAUAAAUAACAGUCUUACCUAAAUUAUUAGGUAAUGAAUUGUAGCCAGUUGUUAAUAUCUUAAUGCAGAUUUUUUAAAAAAAAAAACAUAAAAUGAUUUAUCUGUAUUUUAAAGGAUCCAACAGAUCAGUAUUUUUUCCUGUGAUGGGUUUUUUGAAAUUUUACACAUUAAAAGGUACUCCAGUAUUUCACUUUUCUCGAUCACUAAACAUAUGCAUAUAUUUUUAAAAAUCAGUAAAAGCAUUACUCUAAGUGUAGACUUAAUACCAUGAGACAUUUAAUCCAGAUUGUAAAUGCUCAUUUAUGGUUAAUGACAUUGAAGGUACAUUUAUUGUACCGAACCAUUUUAUGAGUUUUCUGUUAGCUUGCUUUAAAAAUUAUUACUGUAAGAAAUAGUUUUAUAAAAAAUUAUAUUUUUAUUCAGUAAUUUAAUUUUGUAAAUGCCAAAUGAAAAACGUUUUUUGCUGCUAUGGUCUUAGCCUGUAGACAUGCUGCUAGUAUCAGAGGGGCAGUAGAGCUUGGACGGAAAGAAAAGAAACUUGGUGUUAGGUAAUUGACUAUGCACUAGUAUUUCAGACUUUUUAAUUUUAUAUAUAUAUACAUUUUUUUUCCUUCUGCAAUACAUUUGAAAACUUGUUUGGGAGACUCUGCAUUUUUUAUUGUGGUUUUUUUGUUAUUGUUGGUUUAUACAAGCAUGCGUUGCACUUCUUUUUUGGGAGAUGUGUGUUGUUGAUGUUCUGUGUUUUGUUUUGAGUGUAGCCUGACUGUUUUAUAAUUUGGGAGUUCUGCAUUUGAUCCGCAUCCCCUGUGGUUUCUAAGUGUAUGGUCUCAGAACUGUUGCAUGGAUCCUGUGUUUGCAACUGGGGAGACAGAAACUGUGGUUGAUAGCCAGUCACUGCCUUAAGAACAUUUGAUGCAAGAUGGCCAGCACUGAACUUUUGAGAUAUGACGGUGUACUCACUGCCUUGUAGCAAAAUAAAGAUGCGCCCUUAUUUUACCU